GAUGAACGCUUGCGGCGUGCCUAAUACAUGCAAGUCGAGCGAACAGACGAGGAGCUUGCUCCUUCGACGUUAGCGGCGGACGGGUGAGUAACGCGUAGGUAACCUACCUAUAAGACUGGGAUAACUUCGGGAAACCGGAGCUAAUACCGGAUAAUAUUUCGAACCGCAUGGUUCGAUAGUGAAAGAUGGCUUUGCUAUCACUUAUAGAUGGACCUGCGCCGUAUUAGCUAGUUGGUAAGGUAACGGCUUACCAAGGCAACGAUACGUAGCCGACCUGAGAGGGUGAUCGGCCACACUGGAACUGAGACACGGUCCAGACUCCUACGGGAGGCAGCAGUAGGGAAUCUUCCGCAAUGGGCGAAAGCCUGACGGAGCAACGCCGCGUGAGUGAUGAAGGUCUUCGGAUCGUAAAACUCUGUUAUUAGGGAAGAACAAACGUGUAAGUAACUGUGCACGUCUUGACGGUACCUAAUCAGAAAGCCACGGCUAACUACGUG
rnacentral:rRNA from 1 species